UACGUAGGGGGCAAGCGUUGUCCGGAUUUAUUGGGCGUAAAGAGCGUGUAGGCGGCCAGGUAGGUCAGCUGUGAAAACUCGAGGCUCAACCUCGAGAUGUCGGCUGAAACCAUCUGGCUAGAGUCCGGAAGAGGAGAAUGGAAUUCCCGGUGUAGCGGUGAAAUGCGCAGAUAUCGGGAAGAACACCCGUGGCGAAGGCGGUUCUCUGGGACGGUACUGACGCUGAGACGCGAAAGCGUGGGGAGCAAACGGG
rnacentral:rRNA from 1 species